CAAGAGGGGUGGCAGCUGGAAAUUCCCUGGCUUCUGAAGCCACUGGCACUCGCUGCCUCUAACCCCUCUGUGGCCACCAGACCCGGAAGGAUGUAUGUGCAUACUGAAGUUCACCAACUUCCUUCCAGAAUGGUUGGGGAAUGGCGAGAUCAGUCUACUUAUGAUACUGAUAUCAUAACCGGAUGAACUGGAUGGUGGGACUAACGCAGAGUACAAGAAGCACUAAGAAGCACCUGGCUCCCCAGCCACAGGUUGGCUAGUGGCUGCAUUGCUUGGGUAUUGCCCAUGCAAGCGUGAACAUGAGACAUCCCUCGAGUGCAGGGGACUUUGG